GACGAACGCUGGCGGCGUGCCUAAUACAUGCAAGUCGAGCGAGCGAAACUAACAGAUUUACUUCGGUAAUGACGUUAGGAAAGCGAGCGGCGGAUGGGUGAGUAACACGUGGGGAACCUGCCCCAUAGUCUGGGAUACCACUUGGAAACAGGUGCUAAUACCGGAUAAGAAAGCAGAUCGCAUGAUCAGCUUUUAAAAGGCGGCGUAAGCUGUCGCUAUGGGAUGGCCCCGCGGUGCAUUAGCUAGUUGGUAAGGUAAAGGCUUACCAAGGCGAUGAUGCAUAGCCGAGUUGAGAGACUGAUCGGCCACAUUGGGACUGAGACACGGCCCAAACUCCUACGGGAGGCAGCAGUAGGGAAUCUUCCACAAUGGACGCAAGUCUGAUGGAGCAACGCCGCGUGAGUGAAGAAGGUUUUCGGAUCGUAAAGCUCUGUUGUUGGUGAAGAAGGAUAGAGGUAGUAACUGGCCUUUAUUUGACGGUAAUCAACCAGAAAGUCACGGCUAACUACGU
rnacentral:rRNA from 1 species